AACUUUGGCCAAUGGGGGCAACCCUGAUCCAUCCAUCCCGCGUGUUCUAUGAAGGCCUUCGGCAUGUUAAGUACUUUUGGCUGGGAAUAAAAGGCCCUUGCUAAUACCUGCAGCUGCUGACGGUACCUUCAGCAUAAUCACCCGCUAACUCCGUGCCAGCAGCCGCGGUAAUACGUAGGGUGCAAGCGUUAAUCGGAAUUACUGGGCGUAAAGCGUGCGCAGGCGGUUCGGCAAGAAGGAUGUGAAAUCCCAGGGCUUAACCUUGGAACUGCAUUCUUAACUGCCGGGCUAGAGUAUGUCAGAGGGGGGUAGAAUUCCGCGUGUAGCAGUGAAACGCGUAGAGAUGCGGAGGAAUACCGAUGGCGAAGGCAGCCCCCUGGGAUAAUACUGACGCUCAUGCACGAAAGCGUGGGGAGCAAAC
rnacentral:rRNA from 1 species